rnacentral:rRNA from 1 species
UUGCUGCAUAAAAUGUAGGACCGUGACAUCAUGCAUGGGUAAGUAUGAACUAAUUCAGACUCUGAAACUGCAAAUGGCUUAUUAAAUUAGUUAUAGUUUGUUUGAUGAUACUUGCUACUCAGAUAACCACAGUAAUUCUAGAGCAAAUACGUGCAACAAACCCCAACUUCAGGAAGGGAUGCAUUUAUUAGAUAAAAAGUUGACACGGACUCUGCCCAUUGCUAUGAUGAUUCAUGAUAACUCGAUGGAUCGCACGGCCUUAGUGCCGAUGACGCAUCAUUCAAAUUUCUACCCUAUCAACUUUCAACGGUAGGAUAGUGGCCUACUAUGGUGGUGACGGGUGACAGAGAAUUAGGGUUCGAUUCCGGAGAGGGAGCCUGAGAAACGGCUACCACAUCCAAGGAAGGCAGCAAGCGUGCAAAUUACCCAAUCCUGACAUAGGGAGGUAGUGACAAUAAAUAACAAUACCGGGCUCAAUGAGUCUGAUAAUUAGAAUGAGUACAAUGUAAAUCCCUUAACAAGAACCCAUUAGAGGGCAAUUCUGGUGCCAGCAGCCGCGGUAAUUCCAGCUCCAAUAGCGUAUAUUUAAGUUGUUGCAGUUAAAAAGCUCAUCAUUGGACCUAGUAUCAGUCAGUCUUUUGGUGAGCACCGAUCAACUCAUCCCUUCUACCGGCGAUACGCUCCUGGCCUUAACUGGCCAUGUCAUGCCUCCGACGCUGUUACUUUGAAGAAAUUAAAGUGUUCAAAGCAAGCCUACACUCUGAAUACAUUAGCAUGGGAUAACAUCAUAGGAUUUAGGUCCUAUUUUGUUGGCCUUCGAGAUCGGAGUAAUGAUUAACAGGGACAAUAGGGGCCAUUCGUAUUUCAUAGUCAGAGGUGAAAUUCUUAGAUUUAUGAAAGAUGAACAACUAUGAAAGCAUUUGCCAAGGAUGUUUUCAUUGAUCAAGAACUAAAGUUGGGGGCUCAAAGACGAUCAAAUCCAUAAAUGAUCCCGACUAGGGAUCGGCGGAUGUUACUUAUAGGACUCCGCUAGAACCUUAUGAGAAAUCAAAGUUUUUAGGUUCCACGGGUAGUAUGGUUGCAAGGCUAAAACUUAAAGGAAUUGACGGAAGGGCACCACCAGGAAUGAAGCCUGCGACUUAAUUUGACUCAACACAGGGAAACUUACCAAGUCCAGACAUAGUAAGGAUUGACAGAUUGAGAGCUCUUUCUUGAUUCUAUGGGUGGUGGUGCAUGGCCAUUCUUAGUUGGUGGAGCGAUUUGCCUAGUUAAUUCCGUUAACAAACAAGACCUCAACCUGCUAACUAGCUAUGCAAAGGUAACCCUCCGCAGCCAGCUUCUUAGAGAGACUAUGGCUGCUUAGGCCAAGGAAGUUUGAGGCAAUAACAGGUUUGUGAUGCCUUUAGAUGUUCUGGGCCGCACGCAUGCUACACUAAUGUAUUCAACGAGUCUAUAGCCUUGGCCGACAGGCCCGGGUAAUCUUUGAAAAUUCAUCAUGAUGGGGAUAGACCAUUGCAAUUGUUGGCCUUCAACGAGGAAUUCCUAGCAAGCACAAGUCAUCAGCUCGCGUUGACUACGUCCCUGCCCUUUGUACAUACCGCCCAUCGCUCCUACCGAUUGAAUGGUCUGGUGAAGUAUUCGGAUCUGGGCGACGUGGGCAGUUCAUUACCUGCUACGUCACGAGAAAUCCACUGAACCUUAUCCUUUAGAGGAAGGAGAAGUCGUACCAAGGUGUCCAUCGGCGAACCCAUGAAAA